AACGAACGCUGGCGGCAUGCCUAACACAUGCGAGUCGAACGAGACCUUCGGGUCUAGUGGCGCACGGGUGCGUAACGCGUGGGAACCUGCCCUUAGGUUCGGAAUAACUCCCCGUAAGGGGUGCUAAUACCGGAUAAUGUCUUCGGACCAAAGAUUUAUCGCCUUUGGAUGGGCCCGCGUUGGAUUAGCUAGUUGGUAGGGUAAAAGCCUACCAAGGCGACGAUCCAUAGCUGGUCUGAGAGGAUGAUCAGCCACACUGGGACUGAGACACGGCCCAGACUCCUACGGGAGGCAGCAGUGGGGAAUAUUGGACAAUGGGCGAAAGCCUGAUCCAGCAAUGCCGCGUGAGUGAUGAAGGCCUUAGGGUUGUAAAGCUCUUUUACCCGGGAUGAUAAUGACAGUACCGGGAGAAUAAGCGCCGGCUAACUCCGUG
rnacentral:rRNA from 1 species